AGUAACACGUAAACAACCUGCCUUCAGGAUGGGGACAACAGACGGAAACGACUGCUAAUACCGAAUAAGUUCCAAGAGCCGCAUGGCCCAUGGAAGAAAAGGUGGCCUCUACCCGUAAGCUAUCGCCUGAAGAGGGGUUUGCGUCUGAUUAGCUGGUUGGAGGGGUAACGGCCCACCAAGGCGACGAUCAGUAGCCGGUCUGAGAGGAUGAACGGCCACACUGGAACUGAGACACGGUCCAGACUCCUACGGGAGGCAGCAUG
rnacentral:rRNA from 1 species